rnacentral:rRNA from 1 species
AACAAAUAUUAAAGGCAAUGCCUGCCCAGUGAGUAAUUAAACGGCCGCGGUACCCUAACCGUGCAAAGGUAGCAUAAUCAUUUGUCUAUUAACUGUAGACCUGUAUGAAAGGCAAAAUGAGGGUUUAACUGUCUCUUAUAAUAAAUCUAUUAAACUGAUCUCCCAGUAAAAAAGCUGGAAUACCACCAUAAGACCAGAAGACCCUGUGAAGCUUUAACUAAAUUAUUAAACCAUAUAAUAACUACUUUAGGUUGGGGCGACCUUGGAAACAAAAAGAACUUCCAACGAAUACACUAACUUACCCAGGCCAACAAGCCAAUUAAUGACCCAGUAAAACUGAUAAACGAACAAAGUUACUCCAGGGAUAACAGCGCUAUCUUCUUCAAGAGCCCAUAUCAAAAAGAAGGUUUACGACCUCGAUGUUGGAUCAGGACAUCCCAAUGGUGCAACCGCUAUUAAAGGUUCGUUUGUUCAACGAUUAAUGUCCU